AAAAAAAAAAAAGAAAAGAAAAGAACGAUUCAGGGUGAUACCCAUAUCCUCACUGCUAAUGUGAGAUGAAUUUUUGAGUGGGUAAAAGCUGCCCCUGAGGUGACCCACCUACUUUGUGGGAUGCCUGGGAACCACAAUCUGCCUG
rnacentral:snRNA from 1 species